AUGACUCAUCAUCAUUUGUCAUGAUGUUGUUCCCACACUUCAUCAUCAUGUACUACUUUUCCUUUUCUUCUUUCAUAAUAUGCCAUCAAUGUGUUUAAUUUUCUUUUGCUUUGCCUUUCCUUUUUGGCUGGAAAGAUUGCCAUCUUUCCUCACAAUCGGAUUUGCUGCAGUCUUGUUGAAGGAAAUGUGGGUGUUGGAGCUAGGUAAACCAAGGAGGGUGUCUACGUAGAGGGAGUGGUAGCUCUUCAAUAUAACACCAUUUUCUGUGGCUCAAAUCGCAAAACCAUCUUCAUGAAAGUUGUUCCUUAGCUCGUGAACUACAACAUAUCCGAAUUGGAGAUCCAUCGGAGCAGUACAACUCCAGAAAUUCAGGUAUGAUGAGUGAUUGUUCGUCAUUUGUAUAUCAACGCGUCAGACUUGUUGUGAGCUUCAAAAACUCCAUUUUCUCUUGCUCAGAUCAACAUACUUUCUUCAUCGAAGUUGUUCCUUAACUUGUGAACUACAACAUAUCCAAAAUUGAGAUCCCUCGGAGCUGUAUAACUCAAGAAAU
rnacentral:lncRNA from 1 species